AGUCGUACGCACUGGCCCACUGAUUGAUGGUGCUUGCACCUGAUUGACGAUGGAUCACCAGUGAGUGGCGGACGGGUGAGUAACACGUAGGUAACCUGCCCCGGAGCGGGGGAUAACAUUUGGAAACAGAUGCUAAUACCGCAUAACAACAAAAGCCACAUGGCUUUUGUUUGAAAGAUGGCUUUGGCUAUCACUCUGGGAUGGACCUGCGGUGCAUUAGCUAGUUGGUAAGGUAACGGCUUACCAAGGCGAUGAUGCAUAGCCGAGUUGAGAGACUGAUCGGCCACAAUGGAACUGAGACACGGUCCAUACUCCUACGGGAGGCAGCAGUAGGGAAUCUUCCCCAAUGGGCGCAAGCCUGAUGGAGCAACACCGCGUGAGUGAAGAAGGGUUUCGACUCGUAAAGCUCUGUUGUUGGAGAAGAACGUGCGUGAGAGUAACUGUUCACGCAGUGACGGUAUCCAACCAGAAAGUCACGGCUAACUACGUGCCAGCAGCCGCGGUAAUACGUAGGUGGCAAGCGUUAUCCGGAUUUAUUGGGCGUAAAGCGAGCGCAGGCGGUUGCUUAGGUCUGAUGUGAAAGCCUUCGGCUUAACCGAAGAAGUGCAUCGGAAACCGGGCGACUUGAGUGCAGAAGAGGACAGUGGAACUCCAUGUGUAGCGGUGGAAUGCGUAGAUAUAUGGAAGAACACCAGUGGCGAAGGCGGCUCUCUGGUCUGCAACUGACGCUGAGGCUCGAAAGCAUGGGUAGCGAACAGGAUUAGAUACCCUGGUAGUC
rnacentral:rRNA from 1 species